rnacentral:rRNA from 1 species
GACGAACGCUGGCGGCGUGCUUAACACAUGCAAGUCGAACGGUAAGGCCCUUCGGGGUACACGAGUGGCGAACGGGUGAGUAACACGUGGGUGAUCUGCCCUGCACUUCGGGAUAAGCCUGGGAAACUGGGUCUAAUACCGGAUAGGACUCCGGACUGCAUGGUCUGGGGUGGAAAGCUUUUGCGGUGUGGGAUGGGCCCGCGGCCUAUCAGCUUGUUGGUGGGGUGAUGGCCUACCAAGGCGACGACGGGUAGCCGGCCUGGGAGGGUGACCGGCCACACUGGGACUGAGAUACGGCCCAGACUCCUACGGGAGGCAGCAGUGGGGAAUAUUGCACAAUGGGCGCAAGCCUGAUGCAGCGACGCCGCGUGAGGGAUGACGGCCUUCGGGUUGUAAACCUCUUUCAGCAUCGACGAAGCGAAAGUGACGGUAGGUGCAGAAGAAGGACCGGCCAACUACGUGCCAGCCGCCGUAAGAC